rnacentral:rRNA from 1 species
GUUGGGUAGGGGAGCGUUCUGUAAGCCUGUGAAGGUGUGUCGUGAGGCAUGCUGGAGGUAUCAGAAGUGCGAAUGCUGACAUAAGUAACGAUAAAGCGGGUGAAAAGCCCGCUCGCCGGAAGACCAAGGGUUCCUGUCCAACGUUAAUCGGGGCAGGGUGAGUCGACCCCUAAGGCGAGGCCGAAAGGCGUAGUCGAUGGGAAACGGGUUAAUAUUCCCGUACUUGGUGUUACUGCGAAGGGGGGACGGAGAAGGCUAUGUUGGCCGGGCGACGGUUGUCCCGGUUUAAGCGUGUAGGUGUGUGUUCCAGGUAAAUCCGGUUCACUUUAACACUGAGGCGUGACGACGAGGCACUACGGUGCUGAAGCAACAAAUGCCCUGCUUCCAGGAAAAGCCUCUAAGCAUCAGGUAACACGAAAUCGUACCCCAAACCGACACAGGUGGUCAGGUAGAGAAUACCAAGGCGCUUGAGAGAACUCGGGUGAAGGAACUAGGCAAAAUGGUGCCGUAACUUCGGGAGAAGGCACGCUGACACGUAGGUGAAGUGAUUUACUCAUGGAGCUGAAGUCAGUCGAAGAUACCAGCUGGCUGCAACUGUUUAUUAAAAACACAGCACUGUGCAAACACGAAAGUGGACGUAUACGGUGUGACGCCUGCCCGGUGCCGGAAGGUUAAUUGAUGGGGUCAGCGCAAGCGAAGCUCCUGAUCGAAGCCCCGGUAAACGGCGGCCGUAACUAUAACGGUCCUAAGGUAGCGAAAUUCCUUGUCGGGUAAGUUCCGACCUGCACGAAUGGCGUAAUGAUGGCCAGGCUGUCUCCACCCGAGACUCAGUGAAAUUGAACUCGCUGUGAAGAUGCAGUGUACCCGCGGCAAGACGGAAAGACCCCGUGAACCUUUACUAUAGCUUGACACUGAACAUUGAGCCUUGAUGUGUAG